CCGGGUUGGUGGUUGAACUUCG
rnacentral:miRNA from 1 species